GUGAAUCAUCGAAUUUUUGAACGCAAAUUGCGCCUUUUGCGAAAGGCAUGUCUGUUUGAGGGCACCAUUUAACAAAUAAUUUGCAUUUCAUGUGCACACGUUGAUAAGCUUUCCAAAGUGAUUAUUGAUUAUUUUUGUUGGCGCAUAAUGAACAGCACUAUACUUUUUUUCAUUGAGAGGUUAGUAA
rnacentral:misc_RNA from 1 species